rnacentral:rRNA from 1 species
GGUGCUUAUUACAGCGAGGGUCCACCCGUUCCCAUUCCGAACACGGUAGUUAAGCUCGUUUGUGCCUACGAUACUUUGCGGGUGACUGCAUGGAAAAAUCGGUCGGCGCCG